CAACAGUAGAAUGAUAUGCCACCCUUGAAUUUCAGCUUGCCACCCUUCUGCCACCCCAUGUAAAACUUUCCUAGAAACACCACUGCACUGGUGUAGUUGCAGCAGUGUAAAGGUUGACAGUCAACUUGGAUAGGUUGCCAACUGUACACACACUUAUUAUUAUAAAUUCCAUUUGCCACUUUGCCGAUUCUAUUCAAGUUCAACAAAAGGGGGAUCAAAGGACACACAAUGCAUCUGAGCUCAAUGUGGAGUCUCAUGACAGAUGGUCUGAAUGCUUAUGUACACUAGAUAUUUCUGUUUUUCAUUUUCCAUGAAUUGGCAGAACUUCCUGAUUUUUUUUUUUUCCUUUGUCAUUAUGGGGUAUUGUCUGCACAGAAAAUAAGGUGUCUGAAUAAUUUGUGCAGGCGCUGUAUGUUUGUUUUCCUCCCUUUUCCCUUUUACAGUCAGCUUGUGCAUGCCUGACCCUCAAGCAGGAGGUGAACACUUCACACAAUCAAAGUUACUCCACUCUGAAGUCCUCUUGCAAAUUAAAGCCAAGUCAACAGACAUAUACAGUAUAUUUAUUUUAUAUUGUAUUUUUUACCCAGUUUUACGCUUCCUCACAAUUUUCCUAAGGUCAAAUUUGUAAUAAUGGCAUUGCCUCAUUGCAACAUUGCCACCACAGAUACGAGAUGUUUCCUCAGAUGCAGUUUGCGCCAAGUCAUUCUGCUCAUUAUCACACUGCUUGUUUAACCAGGACAUUUUCGCUGGCAGACACGCACUUGAGCUGAACAAUUUGGCAGCCAACAAUGACUACUGAGUAAUUAGAACUCCAAACAUCUACGAGGAGUUGCUGGAACACAACAAUAAAAGGCAGCGCUGUCCGACAUUCACCUGUCCACCCAUGGAGAGGUUUUCUCUUAUGAUGACUUCAAUGAAAUGAAAAUAUAGCAAGGGAUGCCAAGAAAUGUAUACGACAAGUAUUUGCGUGUAAGCAUUUAAUGUGCAGCAAUGACAUUUUAUUGCCAUGCUUAGCCUGGAAAAAAUCAUGAAGUAGAGGAUCCAUCUCUUGUGCGCUCAUCCUUUUCUUCGCAAUCUCCUCUGAUUCUCUCAGCUCCGUCCUCCUCUGAUUCUCUCAGCUCCGUCCUCCUCUGAUUCUCUCAGCUCCGUCCUCCUCUGAUUCUCUCAGCUCCGUCCUCCUCUGAUUCUCUCAGCUCCGUCCUCCUCUGAUUCUCUCAGCUCCAUCCUCCUCUGAUCUUUUCUAGAUGCAGCCUCUUUCCUCCCUCUGUCUAACCUCCUCUCCUCUGCUCCUUAUCCCUUUUCCUGUGUCUCCUAGGCCUUUGUACAUCAAUAAAAUCAAUUUGGCACAUGACUGCACUCGGGCACAGAAUGAGAUGGAGGUACUAUUUUUAGCCAGAGAGGAGAGGGAGGGGAGUGGGAAAGAGAGAGAACGAGAGAGAGCAAAAGGGGUGGGGAUAAAACAUUUUUUUCCUUUUUGUAGCUGGAGCCGGAGAGAGAUUGGAGAUCACCAGGCGGUUGGAGGCGCAGAGAUUUCUGUGGCAGCUUGGUUAGAGGUGGCGAGAGAGGCAACAGAAAAAAGAAAACGACAUCAACUGAAACACGUAGACCCAGGCAUGCGUCCCCGCUCCAGACCUCAGGCUAAAAGGGGCCUGCCCACCAUCAGGGAGGGCUACGAAGAACUUGUCCAGGACAUGAACCAGGCCAACAGCCGCCACCUCCCACACCACGGCCAGGCCCAAUCGUUGUCUACCCACGACUACGUCCUGUCAAUAUGCCAGCUCGCCCGCCCGACCUUCCCCCAGUCCGAGCCCGACUGUGACAUCCUCGCCAUGGGUUCCCUGGCAUCUCUGAGGCCUUGUCUGAGGCUCCACAGACUGAGGAACCCUGCACCGCCCCAUCAGCCAUUGAAUUCCCAGGUUGGCCACCGCCCACAGCUGAAGCAGGAGAAUAGCCGCGGUGAGUGCAGUGGCCUGGAGAGAGAGGUGUGUGUCGGUUCAGGUCGGUCCUCCCCCAGAGGGGUGCCCAGUGUCUCUGAUCCCCUGGAGUACCUUUACGGUCACGGGGAGGCACUCUUCUCGACCACCCUUCACUCCCACAGCUCACAGGGCUGGAGAAAUGAGGGGAGAGGAAGCAACCGGCAUCGGCAACAACCCCAGAUACACACCGACAGCUUCCCAGGCAUGUGUUCCUUACCCCCGACCCAACGGAAAAUCAGUUGCCCUGAGCUCAGCCUCGUGGACCCCGCUGACCUAGAGAAGCCCACCUCUGACCCCGCUCAGCCGCAGACAGUCUCCUCAGAGCAGCAGAAACCUGACGCCUCCAGCUCACUCUCCUGGAGAUUCCAGAACAACUUGUACAGGGUUUCGGCAGGUGAAAGGGGGAAGUGCCCUUGCUACUUAGACAAACACACAGUGGUAUCAAGCUGGAUCGCCGAAUGUCGCACAGCCUGGAGAGAAGCCAGAAUCAGGGCCUGCAUGCUUCCUGCCAUUGCAGAGAUGUAAACACAUAGAUCUUCUGUAACAUUUCCAUGCCCCACUCGGAAUCAUUGUGCAUUGUGGAUCCUUGAUGUACGUACUACAUACUGUUUAAUUAACUGGCACAUUUGGCCAAUUGCAGGCCCAUAUGGUAACAUGUACAACUCCAGUUUUCAUUUGUGAACUUUUUGAAGAGUAUAUAGAUUAAGACCAUAGAGAUGAUCAGAGGACUUAGAGGAGCGACAGGUGGCCUAGACUUUAAAGUAUCUUACCAGUAACCAAAUUGUUGCUAGAUCCCUGAGCCUGAAAAAUGAAAUAUUGUAAUUCUGUCCCUGACAGAAGACAAGACAAUUGACACUAAUUGCUUCCUGAUUUUUUUUGCACUAAUUUUCAUUGAAGACAUCCACAAAUUUCAACUUUAUUGGCUGAUUCAUCCCGAUGACCCGAUUGGUCAUUGGCUGAUCCUUCCUAAUGACUAUAUUAACAUGACGAUGGCCUCAAUGGCUCUGCCCAUGCUGGAACAGAUGCUUUGGUGACACACAUGGGUCCUCUGUUUAUCUCGACCCUUAAGACAUAUUGUAGACUAGCGUAUGCUUCAUUCAUAUCACAGUAGGUGGAAUAUUGACAGUGCCUAUGAAAGAUAGUAUUUAGGUAGCCUCCGUGUCAUUAAACAUACGGUCAUUAGGCAAGACUGUUUUGUGAGAAUGGUCACAUAUGACCAGUAUUAAUAUAAAGUUUACAGGAAGAGGAAAGACUAAGAAAAAUAUCAGAUUAUAUUUCCUAGGGAAUUAGCGAUUACUUAAAUCUUUCUAUUUCACUCCAUUAUUGACUAAUAAUAAUUAUUAAAUACUUUUUUUGUGACAUAUGGGCAGCUAAAACAACAAAUAAAAUUCUACAGAGUUGAGAAAAAUGUGUCCUAUUGUUAGCUAGUUAGGGCUCAGCCCUCCAACUCAGAUUACUCUCAGUGGUUUUGAAAAUCUAUUUUGUGAUUUCCUCUCUUGUGUAUAAACUUGAUUAUGCAAUGAAAAUAUCUAUUUUAAUCUUCUUCACUUAUUAAAGCCAUGAUAAAAUAGAUACAGGUAAUGUAUAUUAAAUCAUGUCAAUGAAUUCCCACUGAGUGAGAUGUUAUGUAAAAAUGUUGUAUGUGACAUUUCAAUUGCAAGAUCAGAUGGUCCUCCAUGACAGUACAAUGAAGUAUGUGUCAAAAUAUAUCAACAUUGAGACAAUUGUAUCAUUGACUUGUAAAUGUUUGAGAACACAUUAAUUUGUAUAGCUUUUGUACCUCUGUCCAUUGCUUGCUCGUAACUGAAUAAAGUUUGUGUUUGACCCAUCCCACAAUUAUCAUUCAAUAUCCUCAAAGAUAAGCAACAUAAACCAGUUAUCCUACAACAUUCUCUGAUGGAGAGAUGAAACUGAAGACAUUUCUCCAGAAAAAAUAAGGCUGGCAAACCCCAGC
ensembl:lncRNA